rnacentral:rRNA from 1 species
GAACGCUGGCGGCGUGCUUAACACAUGCAAGUCGUACGAAGCACUUUAUUUGAUUUCCUUCGGGACUGAUUAUUUUGUGACUGAGUGGCGGACGGGUGAGUAACGCGUGGGUAACCUGCCUUGUGCAGGGGGAUAACAGUUGGAAACGGCUGCUAAUACCGCAUAAGCGCACAGCAUCGCAUGAUGCAGUGUGAAAAACUCCGGUGGUAUAAGAUGGACCCGCGUUGGAUUAGCUAGUUGGUGAGGUAACGGCCCACCAAGGCGACGAUCCAUAGCCGACCUGAGAGGGUGACCGGCCACAUUGGGACUGAGACACGGCCCAAACUCCUACGGGAGGCAGCAGUGGGGAAUAUUGCACAAUGGGCGAAAGCCUGAUGCAGCGACGCCGCGUGAGCGAAGAAGUAUUUCGGUAUGUAAAGCUCUAUCAGCAGGGAAGAUAAUGACGGUACCUGACUAAGAAGCACCGGCUAAAUACGUGCCAGCAGCCGCGGUAAUACGUAUGGUGCAAGCGUUAUCCGGAUUUACUGGGUGUAAAGGGAGCGCAGGCGGUGCGGCAAGUCUGAUGUGAAAGCCCGGGGCUCAACCCCGGUACUGCAUUGGAAACUGUCGUACUAGAGUGUCGGAGGGGUAAGCGGAAUUCCUAGUGUAGCGGUGAAAUGCGUAGAUAUUAGGAGGAACACCAGUGGCGAAGGCGGCUUACUGGACGAUAACUGACGCUGAGGCUCGAAAGCGUGCGGAGCAAACAGGAUUAGAUACCCUGGUAGUCCACGCCGUAUACGAUGAAUACUAGGUGUUGGGAAGCAUUGCUUCUC